rnacentral:rRNA from 1 species
CGAAAGCCUGACGGAGCAACGCCGCGUGAGGGAUGAAGGCCUCUGGGCUGUAAACCUCUUUUCUCAAGGAAGAAGAUCUGACGGUACUUGAGGAAUAAGCCACGGCUAAUUCCGUGCCAGCAGCCGCGGUAAUACGGGAGUGGCAAGCGUUAUCCGGAAUCAUUGGGCGUAAAGCGUCCGCAGGCGGCCUUGAAAGUCUGUCGUUAAAGCGUGGAGCUUAACUCCAUUUCAGCGAUGGAAACUACAAGUCUUGAGUGUGGUAGGGGCAGAGGGAAUUCCCGGUGUAGCGGUGAAAUGCGUAGAUAUCGGGAAGAACACCAGUGGCGAAGGCGCUCUGCUGGGCCAUAACUGACGCUCAUGGACGAAAGCCAGGGGAGCG